GGGUGGUUAGCUCAGCGGUAGAGCACUGCCUUCACACGGCAGGGGUCAGUGGUUCGAUCCCACUACCACCCA
rnacentral:tRNA from 1 species